rnacentral:rRNA from 1 species
GACGAACGCUGGCGGCGUGCUUAACACAUGCAAGUCGAACGGAAAGGCCCUGCUUUUGUGGGCUGCUCGAGUGGCGAACGGGUGAGUAACACGUGAGUAACCUGCCCUUGACUUUGGGAUAACUUCAGGAAACUGGGGCUAAUACCGGCUAGGAGCUCCUGCUGCAUGGUGGGGGUUGGAAAGUUUCGGCGGUUGGGGAUGGACUCGCGGCUUAUCAGCUUGUUGGUGGGGUAGUGGCUUACCAAGGCAUUGACGGGUAGCCGGCCUGGGAGGCGGACCGGCGACAUUGGGACUGAGAUACGGCCCAGACGCGUACGGGAGGCAGCGGUGGAGAGGAUUACACAAUGGGCGGAAGCGUGAUGCGGCAACGCCGCGUGCGGGAUGACGGCCUGGGGGUAGUAAACCGAAUUCGCCUGUGACGAAGCGUGAGUGACGGUAAUGGGUGAAGAAGCACCGGCUAACUACGUG